rnacentral:lncRNA from 10 species
CACAUACAGGAACAACUCUCCUCGUGACAAGCAGCAAAACAAGUGAGAAGGAUUUCACCAUGUUGCCCAGGCUGGUCUCAAACUCCUGGCCCAAGUGAUCCACCGGUUUCAGCCUCCCGAAGUGCUGGGACUACAGGUAUGAGCCACCGCACCCGGCCCUGUGGAGGUGGAUACUGUGACUGAAUGAACUCCUACACUCUGCACACCUGUGAACACCCAAAGCUGAGGAGAAGACCUAAGACUUGGGAAAAUGUACCCUAUGGUCAACCCUCCCCUUCCAACAGGGCAGCCAGCGGGAACUGUGACUACAGAGCCCAAUCUUCUUGUUUCCUAAUGUGGUGCUGAAAUCUGCACCAUGGGGUAGUGACCCCACAAAGAAGCCAGGCAAUUACAUAUGUUGGUUCAUUUCAUUAGUUUAUGGAAAUAAAAUGCAUACAACUGUUUGCUGAUAAAUCAUCCCAUUUAGUAUCUAUUACUUUGCAAAAUGUUUUUUGUUCAUGUUUGGUUUACUCAAUAUUUUUCCUUGUUUUUGAGACAAGGUCUCACUCUGUCACCCAGGCUGGAGUGUAGUGGUGUGAUCAUGGCUCACUGCGGCCUCAACCUCCUGAGCUCAAGUGGUCCUCUCACCUCAGCCUCCAGAGUAGCUGGGACCACAGGUGUGCACUGCCUUGCCUGGUUCAUUCGUUCUUUUAUUUAUUUAUUUUUUUUUUGAGGCAG